UCUUCUCAUAGCAUGGCAGUAACCUUUACAUUCAAGAUAAAGAUGAUAUACUCCAUUGGAUCUGGUAAUGAAAGACAGACCUCCCCACAUUGUUUUCAAAACUAGUGAUGGUACUUUGCAAAUUUCACUCAGUCUUCCUGUCUCAGAAAGGACAAGUUUACACAUGCGGACAUGGACAAGGAGGUCGUCUUGGACAUGGAGAUGAACUUACAUGCUUGGUUCCUAGGCUGGUGGAAGGUCUUCGUGGUCAUCCAUGUACUCAGGUCGCUGGAGCAAAGGAUCACACAGUAGUUCUAACGGAAGAUGGAUAUGUUUACACAUUUGGACUAAAUAUAUUUCAUCAACUUGGAAUUCAGCCGCCCCCUCCAAAUUCAAAUGUUCCAAGGCGGUA